CCUACGAGUGGCAGCAGUUAGGAAUAUUGGUCACUGGGCGAGAGCCUGAACCAGCCAAGUCGCGUGAGUGAGUACUGCCCUAUUGGUUGUAAACCUCUUUUGUCGGGGAGCAAAAGCCGGACGUGUCCGGCUGUGAGAGUACCCGAAGAAAAAGCAUCGGCUAACUCCGUGCCAGCAGCCGCGGUCAUACGGAGUAUGCGAGCGUUAUCCGGCUUUAUUGGGUUUAACGGGUGCGCAGGCGGAUUUUUAAGUCAGUGGUAAAAUCGUGGGGCUCAACCCCAUCCAGCCGUUGAAACUGGUGAUCUAGAGUGUGCGAGAGGUAUGAGGAAUGCGGGGUGUAGCGGUGAAAUGCAUAGAUAUCACGCAGAACCCCGAUUGCGAAGGCAGCAUACCGGUGCACAACUGACGCUCAGGCACGAAAGCGUGGGUAUCGAACAGGAUUAGAUACCCCUGUAGUC
rnacentral:rRNA from 1 species